AACGCUAGCUACAGGCUUAACACAUGCAAGUCGAGGGGCAGCACUAGGUAGCAAUACUGAGGUGGCGACCGGCGCACGGGUGCGUAACGCGUAUCCAACCUUCCCGUUACUCUUGGAUAGCCUUCCGAAAGGGAGAUUAAUACAAGAUGGUAUUCAAAUUCCGCAUGUUAUUUGAAUUAAAGAUUAAUCGGUAACGGAUGGGGAUGCGUGACAUUAGGUAGAUGGCGGGGUAACGGCCCACCAUGCCUACGAUGUCUAGGGGUUCUGAGAGGAAGGUCCCCCACACUGGAACUGAGACACGGUCCAGACUCCUACGGGAGGCAGCAGUGAGGAAUAUUGGUCAAUGGUCGGAAGACCGAACCAGCCAAGUAGCGUGAAGGAUGAAGGUUCCAUGGAUUGUAAACUUCUUUUAUACGGGAAUAAAACACCUUACGUGUAGGGUCUUGUAUGUACCGUAAGAAUAAGCAUCGGCUAACUCCGUGCCAGCAGCCGCGGUAAUACGGAGGAUGCGAGCGUUAUCCGGAUUUAUUGGGUUUAAAGGGAGCGUAGACGGGAUGUUAAGUCAGUUGUGAAAGGCUGCGGCUCAACCGCAGCACUGCAGUUGAUACUGGCGUCCUUGAGUGCGGUUGAGGUAUGUGGAAUUCGUGGUGUAGCGGUGAAAUGCUUAGAUAUCACGAAGAACUCCGAUUG
rnacentral:rRNA from 1 species